GCGCAGCAGGCGAGAAAACUUCACACUGUGCGAAAGCACGAUGAGGGAAUCCCAAGUGCUUGCACGUAAGUGUAAGCUGUUUCUCUGUCUAAAACGCAGAGAGAGUAAGGGCUGGGUAAGACGGGUGCCAGCCGCCGCGGUAAUACCUGCAGCUCAAGUGGUGACCGUUAUUAUUGGGCCUAAAACGUCCGUAGCCGGUUUAAUAAAUGCCUGGGUAAAUUGUGUAGCUUAACUAUACGAAUUCCGGGUAGACUGUUAAACUUGAGACCGGGAGAAGUUAGAGGUACUCCUGGGGUAGAGGUGAAAUUCUGUAAUCCUAGGGGGGCCACCAGUGGCGAAGGCGUCUAACUAGAACGGGUCUGACGGUGAGGGACGGAGCCCUGGGGCGC
rnacentral:rRNA from 1 species